UACGGGGGGGGCGAGCGUUGUUCGGAAUUAUUGGGCGUAAAGGGCGCGUAGGCGGUGUGGUAAGUCUGAUGUGAAAGCCCACGGCUCAACCGUGGAGGGUCAUUGGAAACUGGGAGACUAGAGUGCUGGAGAGGGUCGUGGAAUUCCCGGUGUAGCGGUGAAAUGCGUAGAGAUCGGGAGGAACACCAGAGGCGAAGGCGGCGACCUGGACAGCAACUGACACUCAACUGCGAAAGCGUGGGGAGCAAACAGG
rnacentral:rRNA from 1 species